GUAACGGCAAGCGAAGCGGGAAGAGCUCGAGCAGGCAAUCUCUGGCGUGAAUCGUCAGCGAAUUGUGGCCGGGGGAGGCGGCUGCACCCGAGGCGAUCCGUCCGAAGUUGACCUGAAAAGGCACGUCGGAGACGGCAAUAACCCCGUGCGUGGCCUGGUCGCCGAGGGCCGCUGUCGUCUUCCGAGAGUCGGGUUGUUUGGGAUUGCAGCCCAAAGUGGGUGGUAAACUCCAUCUAAAGCCAAAUAGCGGCAUGAGACCGAUAGCAAACAAGUACCGUGAGGGAAAGGUGAAAAGCACUCUGAAAAGAGAGUUAAAUAGGCCGCGAAACCGUUAGGAGGGAAACGCGUGCAGCCGAACGUGCCCUCGCCGGGUUCAAGGGAUGGCGGGAGGAGGCCUGUCGGCGGGCACCCUUGUGGGUCCCCGAGGCGGGCUCGUCCCCGCAGCCCUGCACUCACGGCGUUGCGGGUCGACCAAGGGCGGCGGUUUCUCGGGCGAAGCGGGCGAUCGGGAGGUACCGCAGCCGGCCCCGGUGUCGGAGGCGAACCUAGAGCCGUUCGUCUCCGGAGCCCGCGGGCCGCCGAGGAGAGGGCGUCUGUGUCGCCCCGUCAG
rnacentral:rRNA from 1 species